GUCUUACAUGGAAAUCUCAUAUCGAUGCCAAUAGCCCAACUAUGGUCUUACACGAAGUCUCACAUCGAUCUCAUAUCCCAGAUAUGGUCUUAUACGAAAUCUCAAAUCAAUGUCGAUGUCAUAUCCAAGAUAUGGUCUUAUACGAGAUCUCAAAUCGAUGCCGAUGUCAUAUCCUAGACAUGGUAUUAUACGAGAUCUCAAAUCGAUGCCGAUGCUAUAUCCCA
rnacentral:lncRNA from 1 species